rnacentral:tRNA from 8 species
GGUUCGGUAGUUCAGUUGGUUAGAAUGCCGCCCUGUCACGGCGGAGGUCGCGGGUUCGAGUCCCGUCCGGACCGCCA